AGUCGCCCUUGCCCAUAUGAUUGCCAUGUGCUAAGAAAUAGUUUUACGCAUUUUCUGACGAAUGUAUUAUUUGGAGUUGCGACUCUUUUGAAGGCGGUGUGCGAUUUGUACGAGCACUUGAA